GAUGAACGCUAGCGGCAGGCUUAACACAUGCAAGUCGAGGGGCAGCACGAUGUAGCAAUACAUUGGUGGCGACCGGCGCACGGGUGCGUAACACGUAUGGAACUUGCCCUUUACUGGAGGAUAGCCCGGAGAAAUCCGGAUUAAUACUCCAUAACAGUCGAGGUGGCAUCACCUUGGCUUGAAAGCUCCGGCGGUAAAGGAUGGCCAUGCGCACGAUUAGCUAGUUGGUGAGGUAACGGCUCACCAAGGCUACGAUCGUUA
rnacentral:rRNA from 1 species